rnacentral:misc_RNA from 1 species
GUCACCUUGUGAAAGAGAUCCGUAUUCUCGGGCCUAUGUACCUACACAACAUGUUUCCUUUCGAGAGGUACAUGGGCGUUCUGAAGAAGUAUGUUCGUAACCGUGCUCGUCCAGAGGCAAGCAUCGCCAAGGGUUAUGGAACAGAGGAGGUCAUCGAAUUUUGCGUAGAAUUUAUCGAAGACCUUCGCCCAAUCGGGGUACCUGAAUCACGCCAUGAAGGGAGACUACGGGGAAAGGGAACUCUCGGAAGGA